UUCCUUCCCUUACGGGACCUACACACAGGUGCUGCAUGGCUGUCGUCAGCUCGUGUCGUGAGAUGUUGGGUUAAGUCCCGCAACGAGCGCAACCCUCGCCUUUAGUUACCAUCAUUUAGUUGGGUACUCUAGAGGAACUGCCGGUGAUAAGCCGGAGGAAGGUGGGGAUGACGUCAAGUCCUCAUGGCCCUUACGCGCUGGGCUACACACGUGCUACAAUGGCGGUGACAGUGAGCAGCGACCCCGCGAGGGUGAGCUAAUCUCCAAAAACCGUCUCAGUUCGGAUUGUUCUCUGCAACUCGAGAGCAUGAAGGCGGAAUCGCUAGUAAUCGCGGAUCAGCAUGCCGCGGUGAAUACGUUCCCAGGCCUUGUACACACCGCCCGUCACACCAUGGGAGUUGGUUUCACCCGAAGGCAGUGCGCUAACCGCAAGGAGGCAGCUGACCACGGUGGGAUCAGCGACUGGGGUGAAGUCGUAACAAGGUAGCCGUAGGGGAACC
rnacentral:rRNA from 1 species